rnacentral:rRNA from 1 species
AGUGAACGCUGGCGGUAGGCCUAACACAUGCAAGUCGAACGGCAGCACAGUAAGAGCUUGCUCUUACGGGUGGCGAGUGGCGGACGGGUGAGGAAUACAUCGGAAUCUACUUUUUCGUGGGGGAUAACGUAGGGAAACUUACGCUAAUACCGCAUACGACCUACGGGUGAAAGCAGGGGAUCUUCGGACCUUGCGCGAUUGAAUGAGCCGAUGUCGGAUUAGCUAGUUGGCGGGGUAAAGGCCCACCAAGGCGACGAUCCGUAGCUGGUCUGAGAGGAUGAUCAGCCACCCUGGAGCUGAGACACGGUCCAGACUCCUACGGGAGGCAGCAGUGGGGAAUAUUGGACAAUGGGCGCAAGCCUGAUCCAGCCAUACCGCGUGGGUGAAGAAGACCUUCGGGUUGUAAAGCCCUUUUGUUGGGAAAGAAAAGCAGCAGGUUAAUACCCCGCGGUUCUGACGGUACCCAAAGAAUAAGCACCGGCUAACUACGUG